rnacentral:ncRNA from 3 species
CCCGGCCCUCGCGGGGGUGCAUUGUAGUUGCAUUGCAUGUGUCAGACUGGGAGUGCAAUGCCCCUGCCAUGCAGCCCGGCGGGGGCCCCG